GAUGAACGCUGGCGGCGUGCCUAAUACAUGCAAGUAGAACGCUGAAGGAAGGAGCUUGCUCUUUCCGGAUGAGUUGCGAACGGGUGAGUAACGCGUAGGUAACCUGCCUGGUAGCGGGGGAUAACUAUUGGAAACGAUAGCUAAUACCGCAUAGCAGUAGAUGUUGCAUGAUAUCUACUUAAAAGGUGCAAUUGCACCACUACCAGAUGGACCUGCGUUGUAUUAGCUAGUUGGUGAGGUAACGGCUCACCAAGGCGACGAUACAUAGCCGACCUGAGAGGGUGAUCGGCCACACUGGGACUGAGACACGGCCCAGACUCCUACGGGAGGCAGCAGUAGGGAAUCUUCGGCAAUGGACGGAAGUCUGACCGAGCAACGCCGCGUGAGUGAAGAAGGUUUUCGGAUCGUAAAGCUCUGUUGUAAGAGAAGAACGAGUGUGAGAGUGGAAAGUUCACACUGUGACGGUAUCUGACCAGAAAGGGACGGCUAACUACGUG
rnacentral:rRNA from 1 species